rnacentral:rRNA from 1 species
GUGGUAAUACCGGAUGCUCCGCUCCAUCGCAUGGUGGGGUGGGAAAUGCUUUUGCGGCAUGGGAUGGGGUCGCGUCCUAUCAGCUUGUUGGCGGGGUGAUGGCCCACCAAGGCGUUGACGGGUAGCCGGCCUGAGAGGGUGACCGGCCACAUUGGGACUGAGAUACGGCCCAGACUCCUACGGGAGGCAGCAGUGGGGAAUAUUGCACAAUGGGCGCAAGCCUGAUGCAGCGACGCCGCGUGCGGGAUGGAGGCCUUCGGGUUGUAAACCGCUUUUGUUCAAGGGCAAGGCACGGUUUCGGCCGUGUUGAGUGGAUUGUUCGAAUAAGCACCGGCUAACUACGUGCCAGCAGCCGCGGUAAUACGUAGGGUGCGAGCGUUAUCCGGAUUUAUUGGGCGUAAAGGGCUCGUAGGCGGUUCGUCGCGUCCGGUGUGAAAGUCCAUCGCCUAACGGUGGAUCUGCGCCGGGUACGGGCGGGCUGGAGUGCGGUAGGGGAGACUGGAAUUCCCGGUGUAACGGUGGAAUGUGUAGAUAUCGG